GCCCCUUCUAGGGGAUCAUUGCUCAAGAAUGUCCCAGAGCACGGUGGGAGCACAGCAGGGAUGGAGAGAGGGGUUUUUAGGCCCAGCUUCCAGGACACGCUCAGUGCCGGGGUGACAAAUGGAUUCAGAGCAGGAGGGACAGUGACCACUAGAGUGGGAUGUGUUUGUCUCCAGAGUUCCGCACUCCAAGAUGGAAACCGACCGCGUGAGUGCACACACGGGUAAACGUCAGCACAUACACAUCCGUGGACCCAUCGCAGCGUCACGGUGAUGACCCGCCGCUCCCUCUUCUUCACGGCUCCUCUCUGCUCCUCACCAGCAAUUCCUCCUCCACCUGCUGUAUCCAGGCAACAGCUCACUCCUCCUGCCGCUUCAGGGUAAUUUGCAUGUCCUGGAGUUUUAUAUAAAUGGAAUCAUCUGUUA